rnacentral:rRNA from 1 species
UGGCGGCGUGCCUAACACAUGCAAGUCGAGCGGGGUAGCAAUACCCAGCGGCAGACGGGUGAGUAACACGUGGUCAACCUUCCCGAUAGUGGGGGAUAACUAGCCGAAAGGUUAGCUAAUACCGCAUACGAUCUAUGAGAGGCAUCUCUUAUAGAUGAAAGGAGCAAUCCGCUUUCGGACGGGACCGCGUCCCAUUAGCUAGAUGGUGGGGUAAUGGCCUACCAUGGCGACGAUGGGUAGCUGGUUUGAGAGAGCGACCAGCCACACUGGGACUGAGAAACGGCCCAGACUCCUACGGGAGGCAGCAGUGAGGAAUUUUCCGCAAUGGGCGAAAGCCUGACGGAGCGACGCCGCGUGUGGGAAGAAGGCCUUCGGGUCGUAAACCACUGUCGAAGGGGACGAUAAUGACGGUACCCUUGGAGGAAGCCCCGGCUAACUACGUGCCAGCAGCCGCGGUAAGACGUAGGGGGCAAGCGUUGUUCGGAAUUAUUGGGCGUAAAGCGCUCGUAGGCGGGACUGGAAGUCCGUGUUGAAAGACCUCGGCUCAACUGAGGGACCGGCUCGGAUACUCUAGUUCUUGAGGCAAUCAGAGGGUGAUGGAAUUC